rnacentral:tRNA from 1 species
UAGCUCAGUUGGUAAAGAGUCUGCCUGCAAAGCAGGAGACCUAGGUUCGAUUCCUGG